GACGUAGGGCGCGAGCGUUGUCCGGAUUUAUUGGGCGUAAAGAGCUCGUAGGCGGCUCAUUGCGUCAACCGUGAAAACCUGCCGCUCAACGGUAGGCUUGCGGUUGAUACGGGUGGGCUGGAGUUCGGUAGGGGAGACUGGAAUUCCUGGUGUAGCGGUGGAAUGCGCAGAUAUCAGGAGGAACACCGAUGGCGAAGGCAGGUCACUGGGCCGCAACUGACGCUGAGGAGCGAAAGCAUGGGGAGCAAACAGG
rnacentral:rRNA from 1 species